rnacentral:rRNA from 1 species
UUUCCUACGGGACGCAGCAGUGAGGAAUAUUGGUUAAUGGGCGGAAGCCUGAACCAGCCAAGUCGCGUGAGGGAAUAAGGCCCUACGGGUCGUAAACCUCUUUUGCCGGGGAGCAAGGGCCGGGACGCGUCCCGGCCCGGAGAGUACCCGGAGAAAAAGCAUCUGCUAACUCCGUGCCAGCAACCGCGGUAAUACGGAGGAUGCGAGCGUUAUCCGGAUUUAUUGGGUUUAAAGGGUGCGUAGGCGGGCUUUUAAGUCAGCGGUAAAAAUUCGGGGCUCAACCCCGUCCGGCCGUUG